GCUGGUGGAGACGAAUCCGCCGCUGGUCUGAGCUAAGAAGAAACGUAUGGAGAGGUGGUGAACGAAGCCAUCGCAGGAACCGCCGUCUAGAAAGGGUUCAGGUCACCAUUGAUGGGGCUAGCCGGAACUGUCCCGAGGUUUUUGUCGUUGAUUUUGAUUUUGUUCUGUUUCGGUUGAAGCCGUUGCUGCCUCUAGUCGCUCAGGUCACCCUUUUCUAUUCAUUUUUAUCGAAUGCAUUAUCCUUUAUUAAAAUUUGUUUGAAUGCUGUUGAAUAUGCUGUUGAACAUUACAUAAGUGUGGAAAUAUAGAUGUGAUUGUGUCAAACGCAGCUGCAAAUCCUUCUGUUGACCCUAUUUUGCAAACCAAAGACUCUGUUCUUGACAAGCUUUAGGAGAUUAAUGUUAAGGCCUCUAUACUUCUUCUCAAGCUCCUCACUUGCACAAAGGCUCAUAUGUGGUUAUUAUUUCCUCCAUCGCCGGCUUCAAUCCUCCUGCUUCUAUGUCUAUGUAUGGAGUGACCAAAACAGCCCUUUUUGGACUUACUAAAGUAGGCCUUGGCUGCUGAGAUGGCCCCAAACACUCGUGUAAACUGUAUUGCUCCCGAUUUUGUGCCAAGCACUGUAUAUAGAGAAUUUGAUGGAGGAAUAUGUCACCAGCUUUAAUGAAGUGACACAAUUUUGAUUGAGGAUAAUUUUGGUAGACUGCAUGAUAGGGGCAAAGAAACACCCAAAGUAAUGAAGCAACUUGGUUGCCAUCAACAGUUCAUGGACCAGUUCUAAUUUGAAACUUGUACAAAAUGAGACCUUGCUUUCUGAUUGGAAGCAACAACAAGAGCGUGAUGUCGAGAUUAUGAAAGCUCAGUCUAAUGUUGUCAGCAUCCGCACGGCAAAAUAGAUCCAUAUGUUGUGAUACAAUACAAAGGGCAAAAGUAAAGGAGCACAUUUGCUAAUAAUGGAGUGCUGAAAUGGU